rnacentral:rRNA from 1 species
UACAGAGGUCUCAAGCGUUGUUCGGAUUCAUUGGGCGUAAAGGGCGCGUAGGCGGCGGGGUCAGUCGGGUGUGAAAUCUUGGGGCUUAACCUCGAAACGGCACUCGAAACUGCCCGGCUGGAGGGCCGGAGAGGAGAUCGGAAUUCACGGUGUAGCAGUGAAAUGCGUAGAGAUCGUGAGGAAGACCCGUGGCGAAGGCGGAUCUCUGGACGGCUAACUGACGCUGAGGCGCGAAGGCCAGGGGAGCAAACGGG